GCGGGCGUGGUUUAGUGGUAGAACACGGGCUUCCCAAGCCUGAAGUGUGGGUCCGAUUCCCAUCGCCCGCUCCA
rnacentral:tRNA from 3 species